UACGGAGGGUGCACGCGUUGUUCGGCCUCAUUGGGCGUAAAGCGCGUGUAGGCGGCCUCUUAAGUCUGGUGUGAAAGCCCGGGGCUCACCCCCGGAAGGGCACUGGAUACUGGGAGGCUAGAGUACCGGAGAGGAGGGUGGAAUUCCUGGUGUAGCGGUGAAAUGCGUAGAUAUCAGGAGGAACACCGGUGGCGAAGGCGGCCCUCUGGACGGCUACUGACGCUGAGACGCGAAAGCGUGGCGAGCAAACAGG
rnacentral:rRNA from 1 species